rnacentral:rRNA from 1 species
UACGGGGGGGGCAAGCGUUGUUCGGAAUUACUGGGCGUAAAGGGCUCGUAGGCGGCCAACUAAGUCAGACGUGAAAUCCCUCGGCUUAACCGGGGAACUGCAUCUGAUACUGGAUGGCUUGAGAUUGGGAGAGGGAUGCGGAAUUCCAGGUGUAGCGGUGAAAUGCGCAGAUAUCAGGAGGAACACCGAUGGCGAAGGCAGGUCUCUGGGCCACUACUGACGCUGAGAAGCGAAAGCAUGGGGAGCGAACAGG